rnacentral:rRNA from 1 species
AACGUAGGGUCCGAGCGUUAUCCGGAUUUACUGGGCGUAAAGCGCGUGCAGGCGGUUUGGCAAGUCGGGCAUGAAAUCUCUCGGCUCAACCGGGAGAGGUUGUCCGAUACUGCUGGACUUGAGGGCAGUAGAGGGUGGUGGAAUUCCGGGUGUAGUGGUGAAAUGCGUAGAUAUCCGGAGGAACACCAGUGGCGAAAGCGGCCCCCUGGACUGCACCUGACGCUGAGACGCGAAAGCUAGGGGAGCGAACGGG